UAAAAAUUUUGUUUUGAUGUUUUGGUUUACAGGUUUUAAAACAAGAAAACGUAGAAGAACAUGAUGAACAUGAUGAGACUGAAGAUCAAGAAGCAUAUGUAAUUUUGUCAGAUGAUGAAGAUAAUGGGACUGCACCCACAGAGAAAGAAUCACAACAAAAAAAGGAAGAAACAACAGAGGUCUGCAUUCCUUAAUUGUUUACAAAGACAUGAUAAAAUUGUCAAAAAAUAAAAAUUUGUUUUGAUGUUUUGGUUUACAGGUUCCAAAAGAAGAAAACGUAGAAGAACAUGAUGAACAUGAUGAGACUGAAGAUCAAGAAGCAUAUGUAAUUUUGUCAGAUGAUGAAGAUAAUGGGACUGCACCCACAGAGAAAGAAUCACAACCUCAAAAAGAAGAAACAAUAGAGGUCUGCAUUCCUUAAUUGUUUAAAAAGACAUGAUAAAAUUGUCAAAAAAUAA
rnacentral:sRNA from 1 species